rfam:Gossypium raimondii Chr11_contig_603, whole genome shotgun sequence.
AACCUAUGGUGAGGGAACCUUCUCAAAAGAUCCUUAAAUCUCUCUCAUGCAGCAUAUAAUGUUUCCAAAUCAAUUUGACAAAAAGAAGAGAUAUCCUUCAUUAACUU